rnacentral:rRNA from 2 species
GAACGGUGAAAGCGGAGCUUGCUCUGCUGGAUCAGUGGCGAACGGGUGAGUAACACGUGAGCAAUCUGCCCUUGACUCUGGGAUAAGCGCUGGAAACGGCGUCUAAUACCGGAUACGAGCUGCGAAGGCAUCUUCAGCAGCUGGAAAGAACUUCGGUCAAGGAUGAGCUCGCGGCCUAUCAGCUUGUUGGUGAGGUAACGGCUCACCAAGGCGUCGACGGGUAGCCGGCCUGAGAGGGUGACCGGCCACACUGGGACUGAGACACGGCCCAGACUCCUACGGGAGGCAGCAGUGGGGAAUAUUGCACAAUGGGCGCAAGCCUGAUGCAGCAACGCCGCGUGAGGGACGACGGCCUUCGGGUUGUAAACCUCUUUUAGCAGGGAAGAAGCGAAAGUGACGGUACCUGCAGAAAAAGCACCGGCUAACUACGUGCCAGCAGCCGCGGUAAUACGUAGGGUGCAAGCGUUAUCCGGAAUUAUUGGGCGUAAAGAGCUCGUAGGCGGUUUGUCGCGUCUGCUGUGAAAACUGGAGGCUCAACCUCCAGCCUGCAGUGGGUACGGGCAGACUAGAGUGCGGUAGGGGAGAUUGGAAUUCCUGGUGUAGCGGUGGAAUGCGCAGAUAUCAGGAGGAACACCGAUGGCGAAGGCAGAUCUCUGGGCCGUAACUGACGCUGAGGAGCGAAAGGGUGGGGAGCAAACAGGCUUAGAUACCCUGGUAGUCCACCCCGUAAACGUUGGGAACUAGUUGUGGGGUCCAUUCCACGGAUUCCGUGACGCAGCUAACGCAUUAAGUUCCCCGCC